GGCUCCAUAGUGUAGUGGUUAGCAUGUCUGCUUUACACACAGAAGGUCCUGGGUUCGCACCCCAGGUGGAGCCA
rnacentral:tRNA from 1 species